AUCCCAUGGUGAGGACAAACUCUUGUGUAUCCUUUCAUACGCUCCCAUGCAUCAUACAAACUCUCUUUUUCGCCUUGCUCAAACCUAGCAAUACCAUUCAUUAUCCU
rfam:Arabis alpina cultivar Pajares Aa.chr4_contig_981, whole genome shotgun sequence.